rnacentral:lncRNA from 1 species
AGAUGGCUAACUCAAUGAUGCGACUAAUCAGAUCGUGACGUGUGACAGCCACGUAAGUGGAUGCUCCACUUGUGGCUACCAUGCUGGCGAUUUACAUGUUAUCAAGUGAACAACCCUAAUUCCAUCGCUGGCUGAUCCAAUGGUCAAUGCAAUGAACGACUCAAAUUUACGGAGAACAGGCGUGAAACCACGAUAUGCAACCACUUGAGAUGAUGUGCUUGGCUUCUGACUCAGGUAAGGAUACCUGAACCCUCUUCGUAAUUAUUUGAUCGAAGUUUGGCCUUUA